rnacentral:ncRNA from 1 species
GAAUUCAGGUGCCGGAUUAUCCGGCUUAAAAGGGAAUUCGGUGCAAUGCCGAAGCUGUCCCCGCAACUGUAAUUGUGGACGAAAUGGAAUAGCCACUGUACAGAUUAGUUAUUUUGAAAUGACUGCUGUAUGGGAAGGCCCAAAGUAGGAAGAAGCAAAAGCCAGUAGACCUGCCUGAAGACU